rnacentral:rRNA from 1 species
CUUCGGUGGGGACAGUAGCGGAAGGGCGAGGAAUACGAUCGAAUGUACCCCAAGGUGGGGGAUAGCGUCGGGAAACUGACGGUAAUACCCCAUGUGCUCGCAAGAGGAAAGCCACGGCGCCUCGGGAGCAGCGAUCGUCCUAUCAGGUAGUUGGUGAGGUAAUGGCUCACCAAGCCGAAGACGGGUAGCGGGUGUGAGAGCACGACCCGCCGCAUCGGGACUGAGACACUGCCCGGACUCCUACGGGAGGCUGCAGCAACGAAUAUUCCGCAAUGGGCGCAAGCCUGACGGAGCAAUGCCGCGUGUGGGAUGAAUCGGCUACGCCGUGUAAACCACUGUCAGGGUGUAGGAACAAUGACCGCACCCAAAGGAAGGGCCGGCUAACCUCGUGCCAGCAGCCGCGGUAAGACGAGGGGCCCGAGCGUUACUCGGAUUCACUGGGCUUAAAGCGUACGCAGGCGGACUGGUAGGCAUUCUGUGAAAUCCCACGGCUCAACCGUGGAACAGCAGGGUGAACCACCAGUCUUGAGGCAGGUAGGGGCGGAUGGAACCAUAUAUGGAGCGGUGAAAUGCGUAGAUAUAUAUGGGAACGCCAAUGGCGAAGGCAGUCCGCUGGGCCUGUCCUGACGCUCAGGUACGAAAGCGUGGGGAGCAAACAGGAUUAGAUACCCUGGUAGUCCACGCCGUAAACGAUGUGCACUAGAUCGGGGAGGCUCUCACGCCCUCCCGGUCGAAGGAAAACCGUUAAGUGCACCGCCUGGGGAGUACGGUCGCAAGGCUAAAACUCAAAGGAAUUGAC